AGUUCCAGAGGGCCCAACGCCCUCACAGAUACACAUGGAGGCAAAACACCAAUGAACAUAGAAAAUAAGAAAACAAUUUAUUGCAGGCACUGAGUUUGGGAAAAGCCACUCUCUUCAGGCCACUCCAUUGUUGCUGCAGAGAAAUUCAAAGCCUUAUACUAUCGCCAAUGACAGGCUGGUAACCUCUUGCUUAAGGACAAAAUCCAGCUGUGGAACUUCUACAGUGUCUGAAAAGGAAGGCUGGCCUUGAGUCCACUGAGCAAACAUAGCAAAGGCAAAGAUGAGGGAUCUGUAGCUAGCACUCCUGCCCAUCCACAAAGCACAGUUACCAGGAUCUACAGUAUGUCAUCACUGUCUCAUCUGAGGGCAAGUCAGAGCUCCAAGCUGUACCACAUGCUCCUAGGCAGGGGGUCCAUGCACUCAGUCACUAUUGCAGUUGACAAGAGCUUAGCAUCUGGACUGGUUUCCAUCAUUACUUCCCAGGCAGAGGCAGAGACCAGUCAGUGAAACUUGAGUUUUGUUUAGUGAUUGGCAUGGAGGUACAGUGGGAUGUUGUCUAGAACAUGGCCUGGAGUCCAUGCAGUUCAAUCUCCUGUCUCCUCCAGAUACAGAAGUUCCUCUGUAGGAUGGCAGAGAGAGCUGUCCAGUCAAGAUCUGCAUUCUACCAGAGCAUUCUCCGUUUCCCACUGCAGGAUCUCUCAACAGUCUUUAGCUUGGGAGUUCCGAAAAGACCAUGGAUCCAGCUGAGCAGUGGGAGAGGGAUCGAGAGAAAAAUAAUAAAUUAAAUCAAAGGCUGAGAGACAUCAUGGUAGUAUAGGUGGAGUCAUUCAUUCCCAAGUUUUGUCCAAGUCUUGGGCUUGAUCAAAAAACUAUGUGGGUGAGGGAGCUCAAAAGGCUGUGUUGUCAGUGUCUCUCAUUUAACCAGCAGGGUCCUCAGGCCUGAGGCUGUAGGGAGGAGGUGGUUCUACAGGCUUCAUGAUGACCUGCAGGGGAGAAAGGGUACUUAGCUUGCUUCAGGCCUGCCUAAGGAAUGAUGAAGUUGGUUGGCAGCUCUCCCCUGUCUGUGACUUCAACAAGUUGGAUAGCCAGCUGUGAAACAAGCUAAGGAUUGGGACAGAAAGACUCACCUGAUCAUAGGGUGGUGGGGGAUCCAAGGUGGGGACCCAGAUCUCUAGGGGAGCCGUGGUCGGUGCUUCUGGAGGUGUCUGAUGAUGGCUUCUGGGGUUCUGAUCUGGCUGUCUGCACUUGCGACAGAAGUGCUUCAUCUGGCCACAGAUGCAGAACAGAGGUAUCAUGGCCAGAAAGACGAUAAACAGGAUCCUGGGGAGGGAAUGAUUUCUCCCUGAGUGACUAUACCACUCUCCUCCAUCACCCACCCCCAUCCUAUUUCAGGUGGCCCCAGCCUUGAAUGGUACCCAGAAGGCCUGACCAUGGCUUACCUUAAGGAGUCGUUUGAAGAAUCCCAAAUGGUUUCCUUCUGCAGGCAGCAUCCACUCUCACAGCAUCUGAAUCCUUUUGUGGGGGUUCUGGUCAAGUCAGACAGACAUGGGGAGACACAGAUGGCAUCAAAAGUGUCAGAACAAAGGGUCCAUGCCUCCCCAGACACCUAUACCCUCAAGCUGCAAGUCAUACAUCGUGGGUUUGGGAUACAGAUGCAUCCUGGAUUCACUGGGAAAAACUGAGGCCUUGUUUGAGACCUGAGUUCAGGGUUACUCAAGAAGAAUGACCAUGCUACUAUAUUUUACAGGGCAGGUGUGGGGCUCCAGGUCAUAAAGGAACAGGAUUAACAGCAACUACAAACCUGCCCCAAUCAUGCAGUUUCCAAUGUUGGGUGGAGGGAAAGGAUGGUAUGGUUUCAGCAAAACUAGGAAGAGUUAGGAGGAGGUAUCUGUGUCCUUAUCCAGGGCAUAUCUGAGCAAACCAUCACCCACCACCACGACCUCCACCUACCCCCACCAAACCCCAAGCCUUGAUUGACUAGAGUUAAGUCCCAUACUUACAUGAUGUCACAUUUAACUGUAACUUGUGGAAGAAAAACAGGCAGAGGUCAGAGCUUAAAAACUGGGAGUUGGGUCUCAGUUCGUAGAGUGCUUGCCCAGCAUACUAGGUGUUGGGGUCAAUUUCCAGGAUUAUAUAUGGCAAUAUAUCUGGUGUGGAUAAACCAGAAUAGCAGUACAUGCCCACAGUCCCAGAACUCAAGAAGACACUAGAAUCAUUCAAGGCUACAUAGCCAAUUUGAGGCCCGAUUGGAUACCAGAAUAAGAACCUUUCUCAAAAAGAAAAACCAGAGGCUAGUCUCAGACAUCUCGGGUAGUGAAUAUUAGACUGACUCUGCCUCCUUCCAGCUCCAAGUCCAGGUUCAAUGAUUAGAGCCUGCCCAUGACCCCUGUGUUUGGAUUGAAGGCAUGCACUACCAUGUUUCACUCCCUCACUGCUUCUUAUUGAGACAGGCAGGGUCUCACUAGGUAGCCCUGGCUAGCCUGGAAUUCAGAGAUCUACCUGACUCCACCUCCAGACUGCUGGAUUAAAGGUGUGGAACACUAUUACCUGGCUCCCAGAUAAUUCCCCCUGUCACACCCAAACAGUUGUUGAUGGGCACAGGAAGCCACCUGGAGUGGAUCCCUGCUUCUAACACCUCCAAAAAGCAACCUAAGUCCCUCCCCCUCGGCUCUCCAUGUCCCAGGUAGAGGCAUCUCUAGCAGUUUCCUGAACACUCUUGUCCCAUUCAUCCUCAGGUCCUGCUGGGAAUCCAGGGCCUCUAUCAGAAUUCCAUCUUGUCUAAGCUCUUAAUAGGGACUCUCUUCUACAUGUCCUCAAGGCAUCUCUCUCUGGCCACCUCACUUAAAGUGACAACCAUUGCCUGCUGUGGUGGUCCUUGCCUUUCAUCCCAGCUUACCUGAGGCAGAGGCAGGUGGAUCUGUUAGCUUGAAACCAGCUUGGCUUACUCACAAUGUCUAGAGGAAUCAGGACUAGACCCUGUCUCAACAGAUAGAGGAUGGGAAGCCAGCAUUUGUCUUUGCUACUCAAUACCAUUGCAUUUGCUGAGCAAACACAAGGGAACCAGUGAUGGGCACAGGCUCCCAGCAGCACUGUUUUUAAGUGAGGACAGGUGUAGAAAGAAAUUAAAGACACAGCAAAGGACCCAGGACCUCAGUCACAUCCCUUACUCUUACAAAUCUCAGACGGUGCCCACUCCCCACUCUCCUGGUUUCUCUGUGUAGCCUCAGGUACUGGAACUUGCUCUGUAGAGCAGACUGGCCUCAAACUCAGAUCUGCCUGUCUCUGUGUCCUGAGUGCUAGGAUCAAUGGUAUGAGCGGCUGUCACCACCACCCUGCUCUAGUAUUACAUUGAAGCCUUGGUAACAAUGGUCACACUUCCUCUCUUAAAUUCAAGCUCCUUUUUAAUGCCAGGGCUGAGGUAGUAAAGACAGAUGUCUGUUGAGUUCAAGAUCAUUCUUAUCUGUAUAAUGAUAUGUUAUGUAAAAGAUUUUAUGGCAGGGUUAAUAUCCUGAAACAGCAUUAAUUCUGUUUCCAUCUUAUCCAGGUGAUCGGAUUUGGGAUGGUUAGGAGCCUCAGUAUUAGAAAGCAGAGUGAGGUAUUAAGCUGGAUUCAUUAGCUCUUUCGGGGAGACUGACAAUGCCUAUACCUGGGUUGCACAGAGGGGUCAACAGAGGAUGCUGGGAUCCAAGAGUGCCUUAAACCUGGGUUCAUGCUUGGCCUUAUCCAGAGAACUUCAAUUACAGUGAACUUCAACAGCCAGUGAACUGUCCUGAAGUUCAAGCUUGGUUCAUCACCCCCCACUGCAUAACAGAUUCUCAACCAAGAUUGUAAAUGUAAAGGCUUGUUCUGACCACCUCUCUGUUUGCAGGAUAAUCUGCCAACCCAAGACACUUAAGAGUUAUAUAGGAGGAACAAGAGCUUGGGGCAGUGCUCACAACCUUGACUUCCUGAUCCAUGCAAUUCAGAUGCCAAGCAGCCCAGGGCAAGGCAGCCAAGUCUAACCGGAGGAAAGCUGCAACUAAUCAAAGAAGUCCAGAGAGCCUCCUUCUCCCUAAGUUUCUCUGUAGGUUGGAGACUGUUGUGGAACUCUCUUUGAAGAACAAGCUGGCCUGGAACUCACAGUGAUCUGCUUGCUUUGCUUCCAGGGUGUGUGAGAUUAAAGGGUCCUCCAAAAUGUUCAGAAGUUUGCGUACCUGGUUGGCGAUUACUGGUUGGAGACUGGAGAGCAGGCAGGAAAGCAGGCAGAAGAGCAAGACAGAGUUUCUCUGUAGGUUGGAGACUGUUCUGGAACUCUCUUUGAAGAACAAGCUGGCCUGGAACUCACAGUGAACUGCCUGCCUCAACUUCCAGAGUGUGUGAGAUUAAAGGUGUGUGCCACCACCAACAACAACAACACCUGGCUAAAUUGCUUUCUUUAAAAGAUCACUAGCUCAGGGGCUGGUCACCCACAAUGGUCUGAACCCUCUUCUCAUGGAUCACUAGUUAAGAAAUGCUCGUGGCUGGAAGAUGGCUCAGCGGUUAAGAGCACUGGUUGCUCUUCUAGAGGUCCUGAGUUCAAUUCCCAGCAACCACGUGAUGAAUCACAACCAUCUACAAUGAGAUCUGGAGCCCUCAACUGGCCUUUAAGCAGACAUUCAAGCAGAACACUGUACACAUAAUAAAUAAAUAAUAAAAAAAAUAGAAAGAAAUGUCCCACAUGCUUGCCCACAGGCAUAUGUUAGAGAAGUAUUUUCUCACAGGGCUCUCCCCUCUCUGACUCUAGCUUGUGUCAAGUUGACUUAACAAGGGACAGGCCACAGGAAAGGCUGCAGGGCUUAAUCAGACUGUCACUUGCUCUACCCAGAACAUCUCUAUAUGGAAUCAGAAGGUAUAUCCUAGCCUAGCAUGGUUCUGAACACCUAUACUCCCAGCACUCCAAGGCAAAGGCAUAUGGAACUCAGAGUUCAAGACCAGCCUGGUCUACAUAGCAGGUUCCAGGACAGACAGGGCAAUACAGGGAAACCCUGUCUCAAAAACAAAGAAGAAGAGGGGGAGGGAAAAGGAAUAAAGGAAGGAAGGAAGGAAAAAGGAA
ensembl:lncRNA